rnacentral:lncRNA from 1 species
UGCGACUUCAUCUUCAGUGAGAGAUUCGGGCUUCUUUUCAUCCGCACCUUUGUCAUUCAAUUUCGGUAACGUUUUCCCCCUUUAAGUCUCUGACCUAAAGUUAAUCAACUCAUAGCUAGAGAAGGAUCUUGUGGGAAUUGGUCAUGUGUAAUAAAGAAUUUGAGUGAAUUAUUAGAAAAAAAAUUUAAAAUCAAAGUUUAGCAAACGUGAUAUUUUAAAAUAAAACCGGUUGAUUAAAGAAAUGUACUUUUGUGAUGCAAGGCCACAAAUGGGAUACAUCCAAGCAGAGGUGGGGCUCGAGUUCAACAACACGGCAUCACCCGAUCAAAUCCCACAGGCCGAUGUUGUUGCAGAAACCUUGAGAGUUGCUGUGAAUAACGCAAGCAACACCUUCAACCUCAGUAUCGAUCCAGCCUCCAUCGAAGUCAUUCGUAAGUAAACAUUUACCACGUGUACCUAAAUAUCCACCACAAAGUAUCAGUGCUUGGCAAUGUGCCAAAUAAUGUUUACCUUGACUCCUCAUUCACUGAUCUACACCUAUAGGAUCAACAACAACUACAAGGCCAAGGACAACUGGAAUCACUGCAGCUCCUUCACCAGUUGUGCUUCUCACAGCAACCCUGCAAGAACCAUUUGUAGAAGAACUCAACAAUCGCAGCAGCGCGGAAUACAGAAAUCUUGAAAGACAAGUUGUAGCAAUCGUACGUACAAUUUUAAGUAAAUUCAAACAAUUGUUGCUGUUGUGACUCAACUUUAAAUUUCUGUUUGAUUUCACUUAAAAAGCCCUGUGACUUUUAUGCUUCAUGUUUCUCACCACUGUUUCCCGCUUACAGUGCGACUUCAUCUUCAGUGAGAGAUUCGGGCUUCUUUUCAUCCGCACCUUUGUCAUUCAAUUUCGGCCACAAAUGGGAUACAUCCAAGCAGAGGUGGGGCUCGAGUUCAACAACACGGCAUCACCCGAUCAAAUCCCACAGGCCGAUGUUGUUGCAGAAACCUUGAGAGUUGCUGUGAAUAACGCAAGCAACACCUUCAACCUCAGUAUCGAUCCAGCCUCCAUCGAAGUCAUUCGUAAGUAAACAUUUACCACGUGUACCUAAAUAUCCACCACAAAGUAUCAGUGCUUGGCAAUGUGCCAAAUAAUGUUUACCUUGACUCCUCAUUCACUGAUCUACACCUAUAGGAUCAACAACAACUACAAGGCCAAGGACAACUGGAAUCACUGCAGCUCCUUCACCAGUUGUGCUUCUCACAGCAACCCUGCAAGAACCAUUUGUAGAAGAACUCAACAAUCGCAGCAGCGCGGAAUACAGAAAUCUUGAAAGACAAGUUGUAGCAAUCGUACGUACAAUUUUAAGUAAAUUCAAACAAUUGUUGCUGUUGUGACUCAACUUUAAAUUUCUGUUUGAUUUCACUUAAAAAGCCCUGUGACUUUUAUGCUUCAUGUUUCUCACCACUGUUUCCCGCUUACAGUGCGACUUCAUCUUCAGUGAGAGAUUCGGGCUUCUUUUCAUCCGCACCUUUGUCAUUCAAUUUCGGUAACGUUUUCCCCCUUUAAGUCUCUGACCUAAAGUUAAUCAACUCAUAGCUAGAGAAGGAUCUUGUGGGAAUUGGUCAUGUGUAGUAAAGAAUUUGAGUGAAUUGUUAGAAAAAAAAUUUAAAGUCAAAGUUUAGCAAACGUGAUAUUUUAAAAUAAAACCGGUUGAUUAAAGAAAUGUACUUUUGUGAUGCAAGGCCACAAAUGGGAUACAUCCAAGCAGAGGUGGGGCUCGAGUUCAACAACACGGCAUCACCCGAUCGAAUCCCACAGGCCGAUGUUGUUGCAGAAACCUUGAGAGUUGCUGUGAAUAACGCAAGCAACACCUUCAACCUCAGUAUCGAUCCAGCCUCCAUCGAAGUCAUUCGUAAGUAAACAUUUACCACGUGUACCUAAAUAUCCACCACAAAGUAUCAGUGCUUGGCAAUGUGCCAAAUAAUGUUUACCUUGACUCCUCAUUCACUGAUCUACACCUAUAGGAUCAACAACAACUACAAGGCCAAGGACAACUGGAAUCACUGCAGCUCCUUCACCAGUUGUGCUUCUCACAGCAACCCUGCAAGAACCAUUUGUAGAAGAACUCAACAAUCGCAGCAGCGCGGAAUACAGAAAUCUUGAAAGACAAGUUGUAGCAAUCGUACGUACAAUUUUAAGUAAAUUCAAACAAUUGUUGCUGUUGUGACUCAACUUUAAAUUUCUGUUUGAUUUCACUUAAAAAGCCCUGUGACUUUUAUGCUUCAUGUUUCUCACCACUGUUUCCCGCUUACAGUGCGACUUCAUCUUCAGUGAGAGAUUCGGGCUUCUUUUCAUCCGCACCUUUGUCAUUCAAUUUCGGUAACGUUUUCCCCCUUUAAGUCUCUGACCUAAAGUUAAUCAACUCAUAGCUAGAGAAGGAUCUUGUGGGAAUUGGUCAUGUGUAGUAAAGAAUUUGAGUGAAUUGUUAGAAAAAAAAUUUAAAGUCAAAGUUUAGCAAACGUGAUAUUUUAAAAUAAAACCGGUUGAUUAAAGAAAUGUACUUUUGUGAUGCAAGGCCACAAAUGGGAUACAUCCAAGCAGAGGUGGGGCUCGAGUUCAACAACACGGCAUCACCCGAUCGAAUCCCACAGGCCGAUGUUGUUGCAGAAACCUUGAGAGUUGCUGUGAAUAACGCAAGCAACACCUUCAACCUCAGUAUCGAUCCAGCCUCCAUCGAAGUCAUUCGUAAGUAAACAUUUACCACGUGUACCUAAAUAUCCACCACAAAGUAUCAGUGCUUGGCAAUGUGCCAAAUAAUGUUUACCUUGACUCCUCAUUCACUGAUCUACACCUAUAGGAUCAACAACAACUACAAGGCCAAGGACAACUGGAAUCACUGCAGCUCCUUCAUCAGUUGUGCUUCUCACAGCAACCCUGCAAGAACCAUUUGUAGAAGAACUCAACAAUCGCAGCAGCGCGGAAUACAGAAAUCUUGAAAGACAAGUUGUAGCAAUCGUACGUACAAUUUUAAGUAAAUUCAAACAAUUGUUGCUGUUGUGACUCAACUUUAAAUUUCUGUUUGAUUUCACUUAAAAAGCCCUGUGACUUUUAUGCUUCAUGUUUCUCACCACUGUUUCCCGCUUACAGUGCGACUUCAUCUUCAGUGAGAGAUUCGGGCUUCUUUUCAUCCGCACCUUUGUCAUUCAAUUUCGGUAACGUUUUCCCCCUUUAAGUCUCUGACCUAAAGUUAAUCAACUCAUAGCUAGAGAAGGAUCUUGUGGGAAUUGGUCAUGUGUAGUAAAGAAUUUGAGUGAAUUGUUAGAAAAAAAAUUUAAAGUCAAAGUUUAGCAAACGUGAUAUUUUAAAAUAAAACCGGUUGAUUAAAGAAAUGUACUUUUGUGAUGCAAGGCCACAAAUGGGAUACAUCCAAGCAGAGGUGGGGCUCGAGUUCAACAACACGGCAUCACCCGAUCAAAUCCCACAGGCCGAUGUUGUUGCAGAAACCUUGAGAGUUGCUGUGAAUAACGCAAGCAACACCUUCAACCUCAGUAUCGAUCCAGCCUCCAUCGAAGUCAUUCGUAAGUAAACAUUUACCACGUGUACCUAAAUAUCCACCACAAAGUAUCAGUGCUUGGCAAUGUGCCAAAUAAUGUUUACCUUGACUCCUCAUUCACUGAUCUACACCUAUAGGAUCAACAACAACUACAAGGCCAAGGACAACUGGAAUCACUGCAGCUCCUUCACCAGUUGUGCUUCUCACAGCAACCCUGCAAGAACCAUUUGUAGAAGAACUCAACAAUCGCAGCAGCGCGGAAUACAGAAAUCUUGAAAGACAAGUUGUAGCAAUCGUACGUACAAUUUUAAGUAAAUUCAAACAAUUGUUGCUGUUGUGACUCAACUUUAAAUUUCUGUUUGAUUUCACUUAAAAAGCCCUGUGACUUUUAUGCUUCAUGUUUCUCACCACUGUUUCCCGCUUACAGUGCGACUUCAUCUUCAGUGAGAGAUUCGGGCUUCUUUUCAUCCGCACCUUUGUCAUUCAAUUUCGGUAACGUUUUCCCCCUUUAAG